rfam:Sclerotinia sclerotiorum 1980 scaffold_4 genomic scaffold, whole genome shotgun sequence.
GCCCGUUUGGCUUAGCGGUAAAGCGCAUCACUAGUAAUUCUUCGUGUUACUACCUAUCUCCAUCUGAAUGGGUAGAAGCACGAAUGGAUGAUGAUGAGAUCCUAGGUUCGAUUCCUAGAACGGGCA